CUUAAACUGUAUAUGUCUCUCUUAUUAGUUAAAAAACGUAAAGUACAGCAAUACACCAAUUAGAUAAAUAAGCAAAUAAUCAGAAUGAUGUCUUUAAAGGUUAAGUUAUUUUUAAGAAGGGAACGUGGAAGGUAUUUGUGGUGUGAAUUUCAGAUGUGUGCUCUGAUCCACUGGUCUUAGCAACACACCACAGUGUUCCUUAUAGAGAUAUCUGAGGUUUUGCUGAGCCAUCAAAGAAUGCCAUUAAAAACCCUCAUUGCAUGUCAACAGCAUGUGAAUCCUACUCACUGCCUCUUCUGUGGGUGGUGAGCAACACUCGGUUGACUCCCCUCAAUCUUACCUUGGAUCUGAAGGAUUUAACGCACUCUUUCUUUGCUGGAUCUAACCGCGAACACGGUUACCGCAACUUUCCGGAUUAAAUCUGGAACAAGAGGAAGAGAGAUGGAUGGAGAGUUGGAGAAGUCUCUAGCGAUAUCUGCUGGUUGUGAUGGGAACUGCAGACCUGAUGAUGACAGAUAAUGAGGAAAGGAAGAUGAUUUCAUUGGUGGAACUGGUCCAAAUAAACCACAUUUCCUCUUCUCUUGAAUGCAAGGUUCUGUAAGACAUCUUGAAGCUCAUGGUAAGUUCAUUGAGUCUGCUGCUUGUCUGUGAUUUAGAGCCAAUGGUAAUUAUUCAAGAAAAUUCAACCUCAAAUUAAUUGUUAAAAUGUAAAGUUUUAAAAAGAUCUGUUAAUUCUUUCUAAAUCUACUCUUUUUUUCAAUGACGUCACUUAGGCCACAUGUUUCAGCCACUGUUUUAGCUAAAUUGGUUUGGAAUGUAACGUCUACUUUUAUGGCAU